rnacentral:rRNA from 1 species
UGGGGAAUUGUUCGCAAUGGGCGCAAGCCUGACGACGCAACGCCGCGUGGAGGAUGAAGGUCUUCGGAUUGUAAACUCCUGUUGACCGGGAAGAAUGGGCCUCGAGUGAAUAUCUCGAGGCAAUGAUGGUACCGGUUGAGGAAGCCACGGCUAACUCUGUGCCAGCAGCCGCGGUAAUACAGAGGUGGCAAGCGUUGUUCGGAAUUACUGGGCGUAAAGGGCGCGUAGGCGGCCUUCUAAGUCAGACGUGAAAUCCCCAGGCUUAACUUGGGAACUGCGUCUGAUACUGGAGGGCUCGAGUGCGGGAGAGGGAUGUGGAAUUCCAGGUGUAGCGGUGAAAUGCGUAGAUAUCUGGAGGAACACCGGUGGCGAAGGCGGCAUCCUGGACCGACACUGACGCUGAGGCGCGAAAGCUAGGGGAGCAAACGGGAUUAGAUACCCCGGUAGUCCUAGCCCUAAACGAUGAGUGCUUGGUGUGGCGGGUAUCGAUCCC